GCGGGCGUAGCGCAAUUGGAUAGAGCACCGGAGUUCUAAUCCGUAGGUUGUGGGUUCGACUCCCACCGCCCGCA
rnacentral:tRNA from 1 species